AUUGAACGCUGGCGGCAUGCUUUACACAUGCAAGUCGAACGGUAACGGGCCUUCGGGUGCUGACGAGUGGCGAACGGGUGAGUAAUGCAUCGGAACGUACCCAGAGGUGGGGGAUAACGCAGCGAAAGCUGUGCUAAUACCGCAUGUGAUCUGAGGAUGAAAGCGGGGGACCGAGCAGCAAUGUUUGGCCUCGCGCCUUUGGAGCGGCCGAUGUCGGAUUAGCUAGUUGGUGGGGUAAAGGCCUACCAAGGCGACGAUCCGUAGCUGGUCUGAGAGGACGACCAGCCACACUGGGACUGAGACACGGCCCCGACUCCUACGGGAGGCAGCAGUGGGGAAUUUUGGACAAUGGGCGCAAGCCUGAUCCAGCAAUGCCGCGUGCGGGAAGAAGGCCUUCGGGUUGUAAACCGCUUUUGGCAGGAACGAAACGGUGUCCGCUAAUACCGGGCGCUAAUGACGGUACCUGCAGAAUAAGCACCGGCUAACUACGUG
rnacentral:rRNA from 1 species